CCAAUUGUCCACAGGAAAAGUCGGCGCUCUCCGGCGAUGGCUGUGCGGCUUCACUCCGUGAAAGUAGCAAUCAGUUCGCAGCACCGCGCCGCUCACCCCACUUCACUCCGGCGCCCCAAAAUGGGGUUCCCGGUGAGUGGGGGGCGCUCCUGGCGCCCUGCCGAACCCCACGUUCCCAGGCUUCCUCCGCCUGGGAUUUCUAGCGGGUCCCCACCUUCGCCGCGGCGGGAAGACCCAGUUUCCACGGAGCCCAUUCCUCCAGUCGGAGGAACUCCACCAUUCACCGAUGGCGCUGACCCGGAAGUCCUGGUUUGGAGUCUUUCAAGACCCGGCAACAAAGAAAUGGAGAUGGCUGGCAGGAAUAGAGGCUUUAGUCACGUAAGUUUCUGCAGAAACAUUUGUUAAUGGCAUGCAUUCCAAAAAGUUGCAGAUUCUGUUUACAUAAUUGAUUCUUUCCAUUUCCAAAUAUAUUUUGCAAUGCAAUUUUCUCUACUACCAAAGAUCUACAUAUGUACUCCUCCACAUCAUUAUCCAGGUGAAUGACUGGUGCUUUUCACUACGUUGGAGAGGCAGGAUGCUUCUCUAACCUAGUGAAUGCAGUGAUUUGGAAGAGGCUGAAGGCAUCCUUUUAAAUGGUUUGUGCUGCUUAGUUCAGCUUCAAAAGGACUUGCAGGAAUGUAAAGCUGAGCAACACUGUCAGCGGGCAGUUUAAGACAGUUCAUGGUUCCCUUUAAGUAUCUAAAAACUCUUUUCAGCUAGUGUAGAAAGAUGUACAGGUCAGAGUAAGAUCUCACUCAUCCACAGCUUGGUAGUAGAACAGAAAACUGGACUGGCAUUUAUUACCAAGACUAGAUUAACAGAGGGCUGCUUUCAAUUUUGCAAGGUCUCCUGGAACAAAAUCCAAUGACAUACAUCUCUAUUGAGAUGCACCCAAUACCAACCACGGAUCUUUUUUUGGCAAAGGCACUGAGUAAACUUUACAAACCCUGUAUGCCAGUGGUUCCCAGUUAGCUAAGUACUGCAGACCCUCACCCAAACAUCUCAUGGGAGUAAAAAAACCACCUACUACACCAUUACUAGUAAUAUCAAUUUAAUAGAUUCACAGAGAGCUAAAAACGAGGGAGUUAUAGAAUACAUUUAUCACAGAAUUUUAGUGCUGUGUAGUGGGACUUGAUUCAGUAUACAAUGGACACUGGAGAAUGCAAGUGAGAAUAAGAGUGAGGCUAGGGUGACAUGUUUGUCAACUAUUGAUAAUUGAUUAAAGUAAACUUAGAAUCAUCAUGUUAGAUUUAGAUAAGAUAUAUAUGUGAGAGAUAUCAUAUCAUUUCAAUCAACCCUAUAGUGACUUUGUGGUUAUAGUUUAUAUUUUGUAAUUCAUUUGAGGACAUAGCUAUUUUUGUUUCUGUAUAGCGUCAUUGCUCUCCUCAUGCAUGGGGUGGGUGAUGGAUGUGAGAUGAGGUGGAUGAAGGUGGAUGCAAAUCUAGCAUUGUUUUAAUAUGCUCAUGUCAGGGAACUGACAUCAGAGCGAGAGGCGAAGGGAGGCUCCUGGAUGAUGCUGGAGAAGGACCCAGCAGCAGGGGAGAAGCGACUCAGUGGAGGGGAAGCAUUUAAGCGCAACACCAGGAACAAAAGUGAGCAGAUGGGAAAAUCGGAGAGAGGGCUCACGGACUCUUCACUGGAACUCAGUGAGGAGGGGACAGGUUCCCCGCUACCCACGCCCACCCUGCGCAGAAGGCUCCCGCGCAGUGAGAGGCGGAGGCGAUUGGGUGUCAAACAACUCUUAUGUUGGAAGAGAUUCAAGAAACGCCCACUGACGGAUUCUGCUAGUGACUGAGACAGUCAUGAUCAGAAGGGGCUGUGCAGUCAGAAAGGUUUAACAAGGCAAAUCAGCCUAGAGAGGCACCAGUUUACGCACGAGUAACUCAUACUCAUUACAGCAAUCCGUCAGUCCCUGAAAGUUGCUCGUGCGCAGCAGCAGGCAGGCAGCAUCAUGAGCAAGCCCGGAGAAGCAGGCACCCAAGGGGAGCAGCUGGAGGGCAAACGCUGGAGGAGAGGAACCGAGAUUUGGAGCAGCAUGUGGCCAUUCUGACGGCACGGCUGGAUGAAAGGCGGUCUCAAGAUGCACAGGUCAGACCCACCCCCAUAGCAAGGAAGGUACCGGGACUGGUGCACAAGUUUGGGGAAGCCGCAAGAAUACAGUGCGUUUAGAACGGAAAUAGAGUACGCAUUGGACUUGCAGCAUAACAAUUUUGAAGACGACGCGGCGCGGGUGGCAUAUGUUGUGGGUCACCUGCAGGACGGGGCCAGAGAAUGGGUCAGACCCCUUAUGGCGACGCAGAAUUCCGCCAUGCAGGACCUGAGGAAAUUCUUCCAAGCGAUGGACGCGAUGUUUUCCACUGAUGUUCAAAAAGUGUGACUAAGCGGGAAUUGAUGAACUGUAAACAGGGGAGCCAGUCAGUCAGGGACUACUGGUCGCGCUUUGCCAUGAUAGUUCAUCGCCUCGGGUGGGAACUGGGCUCCGAACCCAUACAGAUGUUAUUCGAGGAGGGGUUGUCCCCAACGGUUAAGGAUGAACUUUCCCGCGCACCCCGCCCACAGGGGAUGGAUCAGCUGACCAAGGCUGUGCUUGCGAUUGGCGCGCGCCAGGAAGCGCGGGCCCAGGAGAGGCGGGAAGGGAGAGAGCAACGUUGCCAUGACUACCGCAUUCCUGAAAUACCAAGGCAGCCCUCCCCGCCAGCAGAGCCAAUGGAAAUAGUUGGGCGCGCGCGCGGAAGUUUCAAGCACCACCGCAGGGCGCCAGCCGGAGGGACAGGAUUGGAAAACCUCCAAAAGGUGUUACCUUUGCCAGCGGCCAGGGCAUUUGCCAGAGCCUGCCCUCAAAGAAAGGCUUGGCAAGGAAUGGUGGGAACCGCAGGGGGUGAGGAGGAGGUGGUAAAGGAACAGGAACAGGGAAACGAGAACGCUUGGCUGCCAAUCAAGGGGCACAACAGCCAAGCCAGCCACCAGUAAAAGUGCCCCAACCAGACCCCCCCAAGGCGGCAAUAGCCAUCGAAGUGGUGCUAGAACUCCCGAACGGGCACCCAGUCAAGGUGAAAGGCAUGCUGGAUUCAGGCAGCUCAUGUAAUUUCUUCAGCAAGGACUUUGCAUUAGAGCACCAGCUCCACUUACUGCCUUUGGAUUUUCCCUUGCAAGUGACCACCAUUGAUGGCAGGGAGCUUCUAGGAGGGGAAGUGACACACCAAACCCCGCCAAUGAGAAUGAGGGUGUCCAGGCAUUCGGAAACCAUCGCCUUUCACGUCGCCUCACUAGCAGGACCCCCAAUAAUAUUAGGGAUGAGCUGGCUAGCACAACAUGAUCCAGUGGUGGCGUGGCAUCAGAGGACAGUCACCUUUGGAUCAGCUUACUGCCUGGAACACUGUCUAGGGGAAGCCCCAAGAAUGACCGUGGCCAGGGUGGCUGGGAUGGCGGUGGAGCGGAAAGGGGAGGUGCCGCCACAAUACGCAGAUCUGCGGGAGGUCUUCAGCGAAAAGGAGGCAGAUAGACUGCCACCCCAUAGGCCCUUUGACUGCCAGAUCAACUUGCUUCCGGGGCUCAGCUGCCAGUGGGUAAGCUGUACGCCAUGUCAGACAGGGAGAUGAAGGAGUUGCGAGAAUUUAUCGACAAGAACCUGAAAAGAGGCUUCAUAAGAGAAUCAAAGGCAGUAGGGGGCAGUCCGGUGUUCUUUGUGGACAAAAAGGACACAAAUAAACCCAGGCUCGUAGUGGACUAUAGAGCUGUCAAUUUGGUGUCAGAACCCGUGACCUUCCCAAUGCCCAGGAUUGACGACAUUUUAACGCGAGUGAGGAAAGGCAAAAUUUUACCAAGCUGGACCUCAGGGCGCAUACAAUUUGAUCAGGAUGAGGGAGGGGACGAAUGGAAGACCACAAUGUUCACACCCCUAGGUGCCUUUGAGUACUUAGUUAUGCCUUUUGGAUUACAGUCAGGCUCCGCCUGUUUUCAAGCUUUCAUGCACCACGUGUUGGGGUCUCUGCUGUACAAGAACUGCGUAGCCUUCUUGGACGACGUCUUAAUUUAUUCGGACAAUGAGGAACAACAUGUUAGAGACGUCAGGGAAGUGUUACAACGACUGCAGAAGCACCAGUUGUGGGUCAAGCUGGAAAAAUGUCAGUUUCACGCCAGAGAAGUCGAGUUUCUGGGGUACAAGUUGUCUGACAAAGGCUUAGCGAUGGACCCAAGCAAGGUGCAGGCAGUGCUGGAGUGGAAGGCUCCCAAGACACGGAAGGACGUACAGAGGUUCCUAGGGUUCAGCAACUUCUACAGGAAGUUCAUCAAGAACUUCGCCCACUUGACAGCGCCAAUCACGGAUUGUCUCAGUAGCAAAAGAAGUUUGUGUGGACAGAAGAGGCCCAGCAAUCCUUCGAAAAACUGAAGAAGGCGUUCGCAUCGGAAGAGCAACUCCUGCACGUAGAUCUGGAGAAACCCCUGAGGCUAGAGACCGACGCGUCCGACAGAGCCGUGGGGGCGGUCCUUUGCAGCCAGGGAAGGGAAAGCAGGAAUGGAAACCGUGUGCCUUUUUCUCCAGAAAACUGAGCAAGUCGGAGCAAAACUAUACAGUGUAUGACCGCGAACUGCUGGCAAUCUACGCGGCCUUUCGUCGUUGGCGUCAUCUACUGAUGGGGCGCAACAACAGAUCCAGGUUUGCACAGAUCACAAGAACUUGGAGUACUGGAGAACCGCACGAGUACUCAACCAGAGACAGAUUCGAUGGGCACAGGAGUUCUCCAAGUUUUUCUUUGAAAUCCGCUACGUGCCCGGAGAAGAAAACGUAAGAGCAGACGCUCUCUCGCGUAAACCGGAGUACCUGGAAGGAGAGGGGCCGCCGGAGAAACGACACGUGAUCCCCGAGGACCGAUGGGUGUGUGUGGGGGAACUUUGGUGGGGAAACGAGAACUAGCCGGGCUGACCAGAAACGACGUGUUCGCGCAAACUAAAAUCCGGGAACUACGAGACGGAAGAGGGACCCAAGAAGGGUUUGAGGAGAAGGAAGGGGUACUGUACUAUAGGGGAGCGCUGUACGUACCGGGGGAGACCCUGAGGGAAAAGGUACUCAAACAACUCCACGACAACCCCACAGCAGGGCACUUUGGACAGCACAAAACCAUGAUGCUUGUGACCAGGCAGUUCUGGUGGCCCAGGGUGAGGGAGGAUGUACGGGAAUAUGUACGGGGGUGCGACCGCUGCCAAAGGGCAAAGGGGAGCGGGCUGCCCCACAGGAUUGCUGGAACCCUUACCCACGCCGGGAAACCCUGGGAGGUGGUAUCCAUUGAUUUUAUGACAGAUUUGCCCAAGUCCCGGGGAAAGACAGCAGUCAUGGUAGUGGUCGACCUACUGACAAAAAUGUGCCACUUUAUAGCUUGCUCACAUGCUGUAACGGCAGAGGAAACAGCCCGGUUGUUUGUGGAGCACAUAUUCCGGCUGCAUGGCACCCCCUUGAGGGUUAUCUCCGACCGCGGAAAACAAUUUACUUCCCGGUUCUGGAGGAAACUCAUGAGCUUACUGCAGGUGGAAGUGGGUUUCUCGACGGCGAGACACCCAGAGACCAACGGGCAAGCAGAAAGAGCGAACAGUAUACUCCAGCAAUACCUACGCUGCUAUGUCAGCGAGAGGCAGAACGAUUGGGUAGAAAAACUAGCGCUGGCUGAAUUCGCGUACAACAACGCGGAACACGUGUCCACGGGAAUGAGCCCAUUCAUGGCCAACCAUGGGUGUCAUCCCAGGGCCUUCCCGGGAGUGGGGAGGAAAGCUGGAGCGUACCCGCCGCAGAGCAGUUUGUGGAGGAAAUGGAGGCCCUACACCAGCAACUUAAGAUGAACUUGGAGCGGGCCAAGGAAACUUACAAGAGGCAGGCAGACAAGCACCGCAGGGAAGGGGAGACCAUACGGGUGGGGGACCGGGUGUGGUUGUCCACCCAAGGGCUACCUUUCAAAGGGGGGUGCAAGAAGUUGCAGCCCAGACGGCUGGGACCUUUUGAGGUAACACAGCAAGUUAAUCCCGUGGCAUUUAAGCUCAGGUUGCCUGAUAGCAUGAAAAUACACCCGGUUUUCCAUAGGUCCCUGCUUUCACCGCAUAGGGAAGGGUGGGAAUUCCAGGGGCAAGAGGGAGAAGUCACCACACACCCGCAGGUAGAAGAAAGGGAACACCACCACAGGGCCACGGAAAUACUGGACUCAAGGUGGCAAGGGCGCCGGGUGGAGUAUUUGGUAGCGUGGGAAGGGGAACCCAGGUCCGAAACACGUGGGUCCCCACGGAAGCCGUCGAGGACAGGUAUCUGGUGGAGGUAUUCCACCACCGGUUCCCGGACAAACCCAAACCCCUGGAGAGAUUCUGGGAGGAGCAAUUUGGAACCACAGAUGAGGAAGAGGGUUUUGAGGGAUUUUCUGACUCCGAGGAGGGAGGAGAGGUUUCGGAGGAAGAAGCAUCAGACGGGGAAGACCACCCCGUUGGUAGGUGGAAGAGCGAUUGGGAAGCGGGUUUCGAACCCACGGAAGAUGGUGACAGUUCCUUCCGGGGUUUCCCCGCCUCCUCGGCCGACGAAGGGGACGAGUUGGUCCCACAGGUCGGCCCAGGGGUGGAGGGGAUUCUGGGGGAGGUGGAUGUCAGGGAACUGACAUCAGAGCGAGAGGCGAAGGGAGGCUCCUGGAUGAUGCUGGAGAAGGACCCAGCAGCAGGGGAGAAGCGACUCAGUGGAGGGGAAGCAUUUAAGCGCAACACCAGGAACAAAAGUGAGCAGAUGGGAAAAUCGGAGAGAGGGCUCACGGACUCUUCACUGGAACUCAGUGAGGAGGGGACAGGUUCCCCGCUACCCACGCCCACCCUGCGCAGAAGGCUCCCGCGCAGUGAGAGGCGGAGGCGAUUGGGUGUCAAACAACUCUUAUGUUGGAAGAGAUUCAAGAAACGCCCACUGACGGAUUCUGCUAGUGACUGAGACAGUCAUGAUCAGAAGGGGCUGUGCAGUCAGAAAGGUUUAACAAGGCAAAUCAGCCUAGAGAGGCACCAGUUUACGCACGAGUAACUCAUACUCAUUACAGCUCAGAACAAUCAUUACUGUGCUAACUCUGCUAUGAGAGAGUAAGGAUCUCUCUUCCAAAACUCUUUCUCCAACACCAACAACAGUCCAAAGCAGAUCUGAGGAGGAUGUGGGUGCAUAUGGAGAGGAGAGAGGGGCAGUUCCGUUGUAGAAAUGGAAAUUCUGGCAAUAGCAGAAGUACUGCAUUGGAUACUUCCCAAACGAAAUUGACUGAAAGUUCUUGUGUGUACCAAAGAGCCUCCAAAGAUGACACCUUCACGUUUUUGUAGUUUCCUAUGAGAAAUCAGUUCAUGUUUAAAAGAAAAGAGACAGUCUUGACCCACAGUUGUUGUUGUUGCUUUCCUUACAUGGUUAGAAUUCUAAAGCCGGGGAGAAAAAUCCAUCCCAAUUGUGGGUGGACGUUAAGAGAGAAAGAGCUGAACAUCUUUUUAAUGGUAGAAGGCACAGGGAGCGGGUGAGGAAGUAGACAUCCAUUCUUGAUUGAUCAGUGCUGCUCUUUCUUUUCAGGUACUGGAUAAAAGGUGAGCCUAAACAUCCACACCAAAACCACUGUGCUGCAAUAGGCCUUGAUUGCGGCUUGAAUUGCUGGAUGGCAUUACACUGUGAGCAACGCA